GCUAAGCAUAAAACAACAUCAAGAAGAAGAUGUCAAGAAGAAGAGGAUAAUCGCCCUCAAGUCCACUACUCAACUCGAUGAGAAAUUCAAAGAAACAGAAAAUGAAGAGCAAGAUAAAGAAAUGAUCCUCAUCACUAAAAAGUUUAAAAGAUUUUUGAAGAAAAAAAAAUAAGGGAUAAGGAAAAGACCACCUACAAAAGGAGAGCAUAGCA
rnacentral:lncRNA from 1 species